AUGGACUACACAUACGGAUGUAUAUAGACAUAUUUUAGAGUGUAGAUUCACUCAUCUGCAGCCGCCGAUAACUCCGACCCUGAGCUCCAUCCGUCGCUGCCCCCUACCCCGUCCGCCUGCCCCGGAGUCGCAGCCGUGGAUAGCCCCAUCAACCGCAACCUUCACCAGCCACACACAAACCUUCCGAAGACAAAUUCCAGUGAGCGACGCAUUUGUGGGAUAAAAAAAUCUCAGUAGCCGUGUCAUUCCCGUCCGUUGCACUUUCCAUUGGCGGAGGGGGCAAAUCUUGAUUCAGGCGGCACAUCGUGUGUUUGAUCUGUUCAUUGACAUGAUCUUAUCUCCUCCAUCUCUUGGCUUUUAUAUCAAGGUUCCUAUUUGCUGUUGAAAUCUCAGAAGAAAUUUAUGGAAGGUUUGUCUAUCAUUUCCAAUUUAUAUUCGCAGGUUAGUCUUCCCCAAAACUGACAAUUUCUGCAAUUAUUUUGGGCUGCUUUGGUGGUGAGACUGAAGGCAGUAUUCCAUUUUCGCCAAGCAAAGCCAGCGCUACCUGUUUCUGAAUUGCAUCGGGGAGGGGCGAGUGGCAAGAUAUAUUGCCUUAGGAAGCAGAGAACUUCUGUGGCUUUUCCGGAAGGAUUUGCUGCAUGAGUUGCUUUUAUUUACAUAUAGUUUGUGUGAACAAGUCAGUCUAAUAAUCCCAAUAUGGUGACCAAUAGCAUGCUAAUUUCUUGCAGGAUCAGCUGAAACAGCAAGGCUUGGGCAAGCAAAAGAAGAGACAGAGAGAGAUAGCCGAGCAUCAUGCCAAACGGAGGCCGAUUUCCGAGGAAGCUCACUGAGACCAGCAGUGACUCUGGCGCAAACGUCAAACGCCUUGAGCAAGAGACGAACAUAAAGAUCGAAAAGCUGAAGCAGCAGGCAACAAACAUCUCUCUAGAGGUGAUUCAGAUGCCUCUGAGGUGCUGGAACAUGCUCCCGUUUUCCUGACUCGUAUAGCAGAAUUGUUUGCUUCAUCUCCAGAGAAACUGGAUCAAUUGUGCAACCAUGGAUAGGUUGCACAAGCUCUUAGCUUAAUACUCCCUCCGCCCAACAUAAGUGUCUCAACUUUGUACUAACUUUAGUACAAAGUUGUACUAAGCUUAAGACACUUAUUUGGGACCGAGGGAGUAGCUGUUAGCAACUAGGCGGGACAAGCAUCACUGGGGAGUAAUUCAUGUUCUGUCAAUAUGUGCAAGUGGAUCUUCAAUGGCAGCUAAAACCCUCCUCCUCCAUGGAAUUAGUGGCACACUUAAGAUAUCCUUUCAGGUUCUGGUUUGGUUGCUGGUACAACUGUAUCCCCCACUAGGCCAGCUGAUUAGGUGAUUAUUGCUUUAUUAAGUUUAGGAAUCACUCACCCUAACCAGCGUGUUGAUGAAUUGACAAGAUGACUAGCUCUCUAGAUUUUUCACUUUCCUUUACAUAUUACAAAUUCAAAUCUGUCGGUCCUAAUGUCCUAUUGAUUAGAAGAAAUGAUAAAAAUUACUGAUACACUUCACUGGUGAUAUUACUUUGUUUUCAUGACUAACACAGUUAGAAUGCGCAGAGCUACUCUGUUGCUUUCCAUUUUGUGCGUGAUAUUGUAGCAUGUUAAUUUGGAUAUCCAAGACACAGAUUCUCUCUUUCCUUCUUUGCAAUAUCUAAUUUCGAGUGUGUUGCUUUUCCUUUUUCAUUGCCUACUUGGAGUGAUAUUGUAGCAUUUUAUUGCAUGCCACUGUAGGGAGUAAACUUGCUGUGUGGUACAUGAGAGCAUGUAUAUAAUGAUGGGUAAGAUCAAGCUUUUUACCAAUUUAUACUGAUUUAAACUUGUUGAUAUGGCGAUAGGGUGUCCGGUGUACAUGAUUGUCGAUUAAAUUUUUAUAUAAACUUCUUCCAAUUUGUUCCACUAUGGAUAUGGACCUUUUUUCUAUGAACUCCCUUUUAUACCUUGGUCUGUUUUUGUUCGUGGUGCAACUUAAGACCAUCCUAACAUAUUGGCUUAUAUUGUCAUUUUUCUGAAAGACACAUGAUCAGGUCUUAGGGUAUAGCGUUUUCAUAAUUUCAGAUUAGCUAUCUCAGUCUCAAAAUUUAUAGAUUGGGUGGAUCGUGUGCGGGUACAUCAACAAGAAGUUCGGGAAUAAUUACAGGGCGACGAUCCUAGAUCCCCCCGCCUCCGACUCGAGCAAGGAGCAGCUGCUGCCCCAACCUCGCACCGCCGACCUCACACCGGCCCAAGCAGGGGUGGCACGCCUCAUCCUCAUCUUCCUCUCAGCGCAGAUAGAGAUGGCGGCGGCUGGAUCUGGCUAAGUGGCCAGUGAGGAUGACGGCUUCACCCCCCCGCCCCCAGUCAAAGUCAACGGCCACUUCCAAUGGGCGUCGCCAUGUUCUUCCUCACGCGUCGCCGACCGGCAGUGAGAAAGAGGACAUCGUGAGGCUCGAGGAGGUUGCCAUCACCAACGGCGAAGAGGACGAGGACCUCCUACUCGAUAUGACAACUCAGCCGUGAACUUUAAAAGAGCAAACAAGGUUCUGGUAUUGGAGUCUGAGCUGGUGGGAAAGUGAUCCAAGAAAUUUAUAUAGCGUUACCUGAAUGCACAAGAGUUGCUGCUAGGACUCCAUCAGUACAGUGCUUUCGGGUUACGGAGAGAUAUCCCAAGGACUACAUCCAUCCACAUGAUGUCGCAUAACCAAUGAAACUUGCGGAUGGUGAUGUCUCCGUUAUUUCCUGCCUCAUUGAAAGAACUGCCAAGAAGGCCACCAUCACAACAAAUUGGACAGAGUUUCGUCGUGACACCAACGUCAAAGAAGGUGACAUUUGCCUUCUACUUCAGAUACCAGGCAAGGCAUUCCAUGUAGGUUUCUACCGGUCUCUCUUAGUCCUGUUACAUAUGCUUCAACUGUGGCUCUACUUUUGGACGCCGUUGCCUGAGUUUUGAACCAUCUUACCGUAUCUGUAAUGGAUCCUAUUGUGAACUAUUCAUCGUAUUUGCAAUUCAUAUAAGAUAUCUAUAUUUUAUUCGCAUGCAACUGAUGUAUUUAUGAUCCCUCUUUG